AGGAAACGGAACGUUUUGUCCUUGCUGGCCCCUGCGCUCCAGCUCUUACUGCUGCGGUGGGACGGCUCCACGCGCAGGUCAGGGCCAACGCAGACCGACCCCGGCGCUCGGCUCGUGACACGCGGGACGAACGCCAGGAAAACCCCGCAGUUCCUCAGAUAGAAAGCAGGGAGCUGGGAGAGAUGUGCUGCCUUCCAAUUGCUCUUCGUGGCAUGUUGUCAAUAGAGCCCAUGGCGAAGAGAGCUUGUGUGAUGGAGGCUGGGAACGUGACCUCUGAUGGUGCUGUGCUUCUGCAAGCGGACUGGGCAAAGCCAGAG
rnacentral:lncRNA from 1 species